rnacentral:rRNA from 1 species
GAUGAACGCUGGCGGCCUGCCUAAUACAUGCAAGUCGAGCGAAGCGGGGACGGGGGAGUAACACGUGGAUAACCCCCUAUAAGACUGGGAUAACUUCGGGAAACCGGAGCUAAACCGGCAACUUAUAGAUGGAUCCGGACUGCAUUAGGUGGUUGGUCAGGUAACGGCUUACCAAGGCAACGAUGAAUAGCAGACCGGAGAGGGUGAUCAGCCACACGGGAACUGAGACGCGGUCCAGACUACUACGGGAGGCAGAAGUAGGGAGUCUUCCACAAUGGGCGAAAUCCUGACGGAGCAACGCCGCGUGAAUGAUGAAGGUCUUCGGAUCGUAAAACUCGGUUAUUGGGGAAGCGGUACCUACACAAGAAGCCACGGCUAACUACGUGCCAGCAGCCGCGGUAAUAC